AAAAAAACUUGGUGAAAGUGAAAUGACUGUAGCUUUGUCCUCCCUCAGCUCCCAUAUUAGGACUGUUGGGGAUCUGUCCGAGAGAGAGAAGAGAAAGAGAAAGAGAAAAAGAGAGAGAGAGGAGGAGAGAGAGAGAUGGAGAGAGAGAUAGAGAGAGAUGGAGAGAGAGAUGGAGAGAGAGAGAGAGAGAGAGAGAGAGAGAGAGAGAGAGAGAGAGAGAACGUGUUGCAUGCCUUCUCAACAGUUGGCAUCAGGUAGGGUAGAGGUUGUGAAAGGGGGUAUCCACUGUCUCCACCCAAUCUCUUCUCCCCCAGUUAUUUUCUGGGACACUGCACAGUACAACUUUAUUUGAUGGCAGAACAUUCAGAGGCUGUAAGCUUGACACAUGGCAAAAUGCUUCUGCUGUUUCUGAGUCUCGGUUUGCUCACUUCUAAUGUCCAGUCAGAAAAACAAGGGGUUAAUGUAACGUGUGAAAAUCAAUCGCUUGUAGCAGGACAGAACCACAACCUGACAUGUAGAGUGGAAUACAGUGAUGUAGGUCAGAAUAAUCUGGGAUGUAAAACUACAAAUUAUUUCUGGAAACAUAAAUCAAAAUCUCCAAUACGAAAUUGUGAUUGUACAAAAGAUUGUAACACUACGAUAACAACCAACACCUACUUUUGUGAGAUCAAAUAUGUUACCAAAGCUGAUGAGGGAAACUACACUUUUACCAUUAACACAGACUGUGGCAACGGACAUGGCACAUUGAAUGUUUCCGUUACAUUGAGAAAUGAAAAACAAGCGUUUCUGGGAUCGUCAGGUCACCUAUCGUCAGUAUCAUCACUGUUCUGGGUUUUCUACUGUUUCUCAUCUUAAGACUUAAUAGUUCCUUGAGAAACAAUGACAAAGCUACCAGAGAGGCCCUAAACCAGAAGCCUGCAUAACUUUCAGUCUGGAAGAGUUGUGUGUGUGUGUGUGUGUGUGUGUGUGUGUGUGUGUGUGUGUGUGUGUGUGUGUGUGUGUGUGUGUGUGUGUGUGUGUGUGUGUGUGUGUGUGUGUGUGUGUGUGUGUGUGUGUGUGUGUGUGUGUGUGUGUGUGUGUGUGUGUGUGUGUGUGUGUGUGUGUAUGUGUGUGUAUGUGUGUGUGUUGGUUCUACUAUCCUUGUGGGGGCAGAUAUAUCUCAUUUACAUAAGUAGUCAAACUCCUAAGUCAAUAAAUACUUUGUGGAAGCUCCUUCUGCAUUGAUUACCGCUGUGAGUCUGUCUGGGUACGUCUCUAAGAGCUUUCCACAUUUGGAUUGUUCAAAAUGUUCCCAUUAUUCUUUUCUAAAUUCUUCAAGCUCUGUCAAAUUGGCUGUUGAUCAUAGCUAGAGAACCAUUUGCAGAUCUUUCCAUAGAUUGACUGUCUUCUUGGCAACAUAUCCAGGUGUUAGAAUGGCCAAGUCAAAGUCCAGACCUGAAUCCAAUCGAGAAUCUGUGGAAAGAACUGAAAACUGCUGUUCACAAAUGCUCUCCAUCCAACCUCACUGAGCUCGAGCUGUUUUGCAAGGAGGAAUGGGAAAAAAUGUCAGUCUCUCGAUGUGCAAAACUGAUAGAGACAUACCCCAAGCGACUUACAGCUGUAAUCGCAGCAAAAGGUGGCGCUACAAAGUAUUAACUUAAGGGGGCUGAAUAAUUUUGCACGCCCAAUUUUUCAGUUUUUGAUUUGUUAAAAAAGUUUGAAAUAUCCAAUAAAUGUCGUUCCACUUCAUGAUUGUGUCCCACUUGUUGAUUCUUCACAAAAAAAUACAGUUCUAUAUCUUGAUGUUUGAAGCCUGAAAUGUGGAAAAAGGUCGCAAAGUUCAAGGGGGUCGAAUACUUUCGCAAGUCACUGUACAUCUACAGUGUUAAAUGUAACACUUAAUGUGUAUAUGUGACCCAUCAAAAUAGUGUUAUUAAAUAAACACUGUUCAAAGUGUUGACAAACUAACACUCCUAGAGCGUUGGUUCCCUAACACCAUAGGUGUUGCAAAUUCAGACUUUUAAAACUAUUAGAGAUGAUGCUGCUACACUUUUUAGUUUUAUUCCAUAACACAGUAUUUGGGGGAGAGUGUUGUUAUAACACUGUAAGACCAUCUGCAUUUUUUAACUCAAAUACUUCUAGUAAGUUCAAUGAAAAGUAAUUAUUACUUAAAUUGACUUCAAACUAAAUUAGAAGUCAAAUCAACAACAUUAUGCAUGCUCUACUGCAUGUUGAUGUUUGUGAAUUGUUUUUAAAAUCACCCACCCAAGGCAGAGCUGGAGGCUGGGACAAGAGGCAGUCCCAAAAAGUUUGUGGGGGGGGAACACGUGGAGUGUGGCUAAGUCAGGUAGGAGACCUGCACCAACUCCCGUGCUUACCGUGGAGAGAGGUGGACCGGGCAGGCACCGUGUUAUACCGGGAGGCGCACGGUGUCCCCGGAGCGCACUCUGCCAACCCGGAUGUUCUAACUAUGUCUGAAUCCUGGCUUAGGAAGACCACCAAAAAUACUGAAAUGUUCAUCCCUAACUACAACAUUUUCAGACGAGAUAGAACUGCCAAAGCGGGGCGUUGUUGCAAUCUACUGCAAAGAUAGCCUGCAGAGUUCUGUCCUACUGUCCAGGUCGGUACCUAAACAUUUUGAACUUCUACUUUUAAAAAUCCACCUCUCUAAAAACAAGUCUCUCACCGUUGCUGCCUGCUAUAGACCACCCUCUGCCCCCAGCUGUGCUCUGGACACCAUAUGUGAACUAAUUGCUCCCCAUCCAUCUUGCUUACUUGCCUACCUGGUUAAAUAAAGGUGAAAUAAAAUAAAAUAAAUAUAUCUAGAUCUAACCUCUCUACCUCUAUAUAUACAGUUGAAGUCGGAAGUUUACAUUCACUUAGGUUGGAGUUAUUAAAACUCGUUUUUCAACCACUCCACACAUUUCUUGUUAACAAACUAUAGUUUUGGCAAGUCGGUUAGUACAUCUACUUUGUGCAUGAUACAAGUAAUUCUUCCAAUAACUGUUUACAGACAGAUUCUGUUCUGUUUACAGACAGAACCUCAGGAGGCUGAAGAAAUUUGGCUUGUCACCAAAAGCACUCACAAACUUCUACAGAUGCACAAUCGAGAGCAGCCUGGCGGGCUGUAUCACCGCCUGGUACGGCAACUGCUCCGCCCUCAACCGUAAGGCUCUCCAGAGGGUAGUGAGGUCUGCACAACGCAUCACCGGGGGCAAACUACCUGCCCUCCAGGACACCUACACCACCCGAUGUUACAGGAAGGCCAUAAAGAUCAUCAAGGACAUCAACCACCCAAACCACUGCCUGUUCACCCCGCUAUCAUCCAGAAGGCGAGGUCAGUACAGGUGCAUCAAAGCUGGGACCGAGAGACUGAAAAACAGCUUCUAUCUCAAGGCCAUCAGACUGUUAAACAGCAAUCACUAACAUUGAGUGGCUGCUGCCAACACACUGUCAUUGACACUGACCCAACUCCAGCCACUUUAAAAAUGGGAAUUGAUGGGAAAUGAUGUAAAUAUAUCACUAGCCACUUUAAACAAUGCUACCUUAUAUAAUGUUACUUACCCUACACUAUUCAUCUCAUAUGCAUAUGUAUAUACUGUACUCUAGAUCAUCGACUGCAUUCUUAUGUCACUAGCCACUUUAACUAUGCCACUUUGUUUACUUUGUCUACAUACUCAUCUCAUAUGUAUAUACUGUACUCGAUACCAUCUACUGUAUGCUGCUCUGUACCAUCACUCAUUCAUAUAUCCUUAUGUACAUAUUCCUUAUCCCCUUACACUGUGUAUAAGACAGUAGUUUUGGAAUUGUUAGUUAGAUUACUUGUUGGUUAUCACUGCAUUGUCGG